UACGUAGGGGGCAAGCGUUGUCCGGAUUUAUUGGGCGUAAAGAGCGUGUAGGCGGCCAAACAGGUCAGCUGUGAAAACUCGAGGCUCAACCUCGAGACGUCGGUUGAAACCGUUUGGCUAGAGUCCGGAAGAGGAGAGUGGAAUUCCCGGUGUAGCGGUGAAAUGCGCAGAUAUCGGGAAGAACACCCGUGGCGAAGGCGGCUCUCUGGGACGGUACUGACGCUGAGACGCGAAAAGCGUGGGGGAGCGAACAGG
rnacentral:rRNA from 1 species